rnacentral:ribozyme from 1 species
GAGGAACAAGGGAUAGAAACAACCGAGAAAGAUGGCUCCAUGUGCUGUGGUGACGGCGGGAAAAGCCCUCCUUGGAGCAAGGCUGUCAUGGAAUCGGAAGACGAAUCAACAGCUGUU